rnacentral:lncRNA from 1 species
UUGGAGGUAAGGCCUAACAAAACAAAGCAAUGUGUGAAGGGAGAGAUCAUCAGAUCAAUGCAUUUCACAUGUUUCACCUUGCUUCGUUCUCUAUCUCUCUCGAAUGUCCUUUUUUUCCGGAGCUAGCUCCGCCGCGUCGGAGGCAGUAGUGCUGAUUAAAUGGAGAUGGUAGUUUCCUUUCUCCUAAUCUCUCAAUAAUUCAACUUUAAACUCGCUUAAUUCCCUAAACCGAGCAAAAAUAGCU